CGUACANGUCUCCGUAGGUGAACCUGCGGNNGGAUCAUUACAAGAACGCCCGGGCUUCGGCCUGGUUAUUCAUAACCCUUUGUUGUCCGACUCUGUUGCCUCCGGGGCGACCCUGCCUUCGGGCGGGGGCUCCGGGUGGACACUUCAAACUCUUGCGUAACUUUGCAGUCUGAGUAAACUUAAUUAAUAAAUUAAAACUUUUAACAACGGAUCUCUUGGUUCUGGCAUCGAUGAAGAACGCAGCGAAAUGCGAUAAGUAAUGUGAAUUGCAGAAUUCAGUGAAUCAUCGAAUCUUUGAACGCACAUUGCGCCCCCUGGCAUUCCGGGGGGCAUGCCUGUUCGAGCGUCAUUUCACCACUCAAGCCUCGCUUGGUAUUGGGCAACGCGGUCCGCCGCGUGCCUCAAAUCGUCCGGCUGGGUCUUCUGUCCCCUAAGCGUUGUGGAAACUAUUCGCUAAAGGGUGUUCGGGAGGCUACGCCGUAAAACAACCCCAUUUCUAAGGUUGACCUCGGAUCAGGUAGGGAUACCCGCUGAACUUAAGCAUAUCA
rnacentral:rRNA from 1 species